GACGAACGCUGGCGGCGUGCUUAACACAUGCAAGUCGAACGGAAAGGCCCUGCUUGCAGGGUGCUCGAGUGGCGAACGGGUGAGUAACACGUGGGUGAUCUGCCCCUUACUUUGGGAUAAGCCUGGGAAACUGGGUCUAAUACUGGAUAGGACCAUGCUGUAGGUGGUGUGGUGGAAAGAUUAGUUUCGGUAAGGGAUGAGCUCGCGGCCUAUCAGCUUGUUGGUGGGGUAAUGGCCUUCCAAGGCGUCGACGGGUAGCCGGCCUGAGAGGGUGGACGGCCACAUUGGGACUGAGAUACGGCCCAGACUCCUACGGGAGGCAGCAGUGGGGAAUAUUGCACAAUGGGCGCAAGCCUGAUGCAGCGACGCCGCGUGGGGGAUGACGGCCUUCGGGUUGUAAACUCCUUUCAGCCAUGACGAAGCCCUUGUGGUGACGGUAGUGGUAGAAGAAGCACCGGCUAACUACGUG
rnacentral:rRNA from 1 species